AUUGAACGCUGGCGGCAGGCCUAACACAUGCCAGUCGAACGGUAACAGGAAGCAGCUUGCUGCUUUGCUGACGAGUGGCGGACGGGUGAGUAAUGUCUGGGAAACUGCCUGAUGGAGGGGGAUAACUACUGGAAACGGUAGCUAAUACCGCAUAACGUCGCAAGACCAAAGAGGGGGACAUUCGGGCCUCUUGCCAUCGGAUGUGCCCAGAUGGGAUUAGCUAGUAGGUGGGGUAACGGCUCACCUAGGCGACGAUCCCUAGCUGGUCUGAGAGGAGGACCAGCCACACUGGAACUGAGACACGGUCCAGACUCCUACGGGAGGCAGCAGUGGGGAAUAUUGCACAAUGGGCGCAAGCCUUAUGCAGCGCUGCCGCGUGUAUGAAGAAGGCCUUCGGGUUGUAAAGUACUUUCAGCGGGGAGGAAGGGAGUAAAGUUAAUACCUUUGCUCAUUGACGUUACCCGCAGAAGAAGCACCGGCUAACUCCGUG
rnacentral:rRNA from 1 species